GGCUUCAUGGUUCAGCUGGUAGGGCGUGCACUGUACAAAAGUGUGGGUGGCAUUAAUGCGUGGGUUCGAAUCCCACCGAGGCUA
rnacentral:tRNA from 1 species